CUCAGCCUCCCCAAAUUUUUUCCAAUCCAGCUGCAGCACUGGGGAGGGGGAGGAUUGUGGGGGUAGACCCAGGGUGCAGGGCACCCCGGAGCCAAACACUAUUCCUGCAUCCUGGGUUGGUGAGAUGGAGGAAGAGGGGGGGAUGUUGGGAGUACAGAUGGUGUCAUCACCGGUAGAUAUGGAGCAGGGGAGCAUCGGGUGAGUCUCCUGUUUUUGUUUUUUUCUGUCUGGGUUUAGAAUUUGAGUGUAUUACAUGUUUUUAUUUCAUUCUUUCAUGGGGUCUGAUUUUACUUUUGUUAGUUUAAAUGUAAGGGGUUUAAGGGAUUGUGUUAAGAGGAGGGCGGUUUUUAGUUAUUUGGAGGGUGUGGGGUUUGAUUUUUGUUUUUUACAGGAGGUUCACCUGAGGGAUGGAGGGGAUGUUAAUAGGUUUAAGAGGGAGUGGGACAAGGGGGAGUCGGUUGGGGGGGUGCACUCAUCGGGGGUAGGGAUUUUGUGUGGGCACAGGGAGGUUAAAGUGGAGGAUUCUUUUGUGGUAAUGCAGGGGAGGGUUAUAGGGGUGGAUGUCAUGAUAAGGGAUUGUAAUUUUAGAUUAGUGGUGGUGUAUGGACCACAGGUGGUGGCAGACAGGAGGGAGAUGGUGGACUGUCUGACGCCCCUGUGUGUCACAAAUAGGAAAUUAGUGAUAGGGGGGGAUUUUAAUGCAGAUUUAGGAAGAGGGGGGGAUAGCAGUGCAGGCGCCAUUGCCAGGCUAAUGGCUUGCCAUGGUCUGGUAGAUGGUGGUCUGCACACUACUCCGAAAAUGGACGGUCCUACAUGGCGCAACUCCAGGGGGGUUGAGCGGAGGCUCGACUAUAUUUUUGUACCCAGGUCUUUGGGUAAGUUGUCUGGGCGGCUGUUGCCUGUUUUCUUUUCGGAUCACGACGGGGUGCUCCUGCAGGUGGGGUCGCCAGUCUGCCUCUUUGGUAGGGGGUACUGGAAGCUAGAUCGGGAUGUGCUGGAGGAGCAGGCUUUUGUUGACGGGUUUUAUGGUUUCUUUUGG
rnacentral:lncRNA from 1 species